GGUAAAAUGGCUGAGUUAAAGCAUUAGACUGUAAAUCUAAACACAGGGGUGUAAUGCCUCUUUUUACCA
rnacentral:tRNA from 1 species